rnacentral:pre_miRNA from 1 species
UUUGGUCAUCAAUAAACAGUUUGCUGUAGAGUUUUUAAGAUUAAGGUAAAGUUUUUAAGAUUAAGACAGGUGGUAUAUAUACUAUCUGAUAGAUCCCAACAUAUAUAUCAAAAUAAUUUGACAGUAUAUAUACAUUACAAGCCGCAGUAGUCUUAAAGAUUCUGCAGCAAACUACUUAUUGAUGGCCGGG